UGUAGAAAAGUCAGCACUAUGGAUUGGGCUCCUUUGCUCCUUACCUUCCUCAGUCUCUACACAGGGUCCAUGGCUCAGGCGGUGCUGACCCAGCCACCCUCAUUAUCCAAGGUCUCAGGAGAGACGGCCAUACUUACCUGCACUGGAAACAGCAACAAUGUUGGCUAUGAAGGAGCAGGCUGGGUGCAGCUGCAGCAGCAGGGCCAAUCCCCCAAAACCCUGGUCAACAGGAAUAACAACCGACUCUCAGGGAUCCCAGAGAGAUUCUCUGGCACCAGAUCAGGCAACUCAGCCUCCCUGACCAUCACAGGGAUCCAGCCUGAGGAUGAGGCUGAUUAUUACUGUGCAGCAUGGGACAAAAGCCAGAGUGCUUCCACAACAUGUCAGGUCAAUGGAGAAGUGAGACAAAAACCCAGGAGCUCCCAUGACACACAAAUACAUGAGAAGUGA